UCAGAUAUGGUAUAGUGGCAACAUGUCCUCAUUUCUUUCCGAAGGGCAAGAAAAGCUAUUAUACAUAGGGGAAGCUCGCAGUUCGAUUCUGUAUAUCUGAA